CAGUGCUGUGCAACGCAGCGUUUUGUGAGAACUUUUGUCAGACUCUCCGUUUUUAUUUUCUUUCUGUCGCUCAUGUUGCUCUGCUAUUUUAAAUGUGAAAUAUGACGCAAUAGAAGGGAAUAUUUAACAGAUUCAGUGUAGACAGAUAACAUCGAAUGCUACCAGACAGUCGCUCGCUUGGAUCCUGUUAGGGCACACUGUUACAGUGGUCCAUGCUGGUGCUUACUAUCAUAUGAAGAGCUCAGGUCAGCGGAGGCCAGUGUCUGUGCCUCGCUCUCGUCGGUGGGGAUGCGCUCGUACUUGGCCUGCUCAGCGCCCGUCAUGUUGCCAGUGCGUCGUCGCUCCUGCAGGUCGUAACUUCGGCUCGACACUCUCGCCAGAGGGACGGCAGUGGGGGCUCCAGCAAGUGACCUAGGGGGUGCUCCGCCAGGCCCGGGGCUGCCACGGUGAUCGCGGCCCUUCCUCUUCUUCUUGUUGGUCUUCUUCCUCUUGCUGUCUCCAGGAAGCUUGGACAGAGGCCGGUGGAUGUGGUGGGAAGAGCUGCGAUGAU